rnacentral:rRNA from 1 species
CUACGAGGCGCACCAGCAGGGAAUAUUGCACGAUGGACGGAAGUCUGAUGCAGCGACGCCGCGUGGAUGAUGAAGGCCCUCGGGUUGUAAAAUCCUUUUCAGGGGGACGAGGAAGGACGGUACCCUUGGAAUAAGCGUCGGCUAACUACGUGCCAGCAGCCGCGGUAAGACGUAGGACGCAAGCGUUAUCCGGAUUUACUGGGCGUAAAGCGUCUGUAGGCGGAAUGGUAAGUUGGACGUGAAAGCUCCGGGCUCAACCUGGAGAGGUCGUUCAAUACUGCCAAACUAGAGGGCAUCAGAGGAGCGUGGAAUUUCCGGUGUAGCGGUAAAAUGCGCAGAUAUCGGAAGGAACACCAAUGGCGAAGGCAGCGCUCUGGGAUGAACCUGACGCUAAGAGACGAAAGCUAGGGGAGCGAACAGGAUUAGAUACCCUGGUAGUC